rnacentral:tRNA from 2 species
AGGCACGUAGCUCAGUGGAAGAGCACCUCCCUGACACGGAGGGGGUCGGCGGUUCGAUCCCGCCCGUGCCUACCA